AUUGAACGCUGGCGGCGGGCUUAACACAUGCAAGUCGAGCGGAGCGAGGGUGCUUGCACCUUAGCUUAGCGGCGGACGGGUGAGUAAUGCUUAGGAAUCUGCCUAUUAGUGGGGGACAACAUUCCGAAAGGAACGCUAAUACCGCGUACGUCCUACGGGAGAAAGCAGGGGACCUUCGGGCCUUGCGCUAUCAGAUGAGCCUAGGUCGGAUUAGCUAGUUGGUGAGGUAAUGGCUCACCAAGGCGACGAUCCGUAACUGGUCUGAGAGGAUGAUCAGUCACACUGGAACUGGGCAACGGUCCAGACUCCUACGGGAGGCAGCAGUGGGGAAUAUUGGACAAUGGGCGAAAGCCUGAUCCAGCCAUGCCGCGUGUGUGAAGAAGGUCUUCGGAUUGUAAAGCACUUUAAGUUGGGAGGAAGGGCAGUAAGUUAAUACCUUGCUGUUUUGACGUUACCGACAGAAUAAGCACCGGCUAACUUCGUGCCAGCAGCCGCCGUAAGAC
rnacentral:rRNA from 1 species